AUUGAACGCUGGCGGCAGGCCUAACACAUGCAAGUCGAACGAGUGGCGGACGGGUGGAUAAUGUCUGGGAAACUGCCCGAUGGAGGGGGAUAACUACUGGAAACCGUAGCUAAUACCGCAUACCAUCGGAUCUGCCCAGAUGGGAUUAGCUAGUGGGUGGGGUAACGGCUCACCUAGGCGACGAUCCCUAGCUGGUCUGAGAGGAUGACCGGCCACACUGGAACUGAGACACGGCCCAGACUCCUACGGGAGGCAGCAGUGGGGAAUAUUGCACAAUGGGCGCAAGCCUGACGCAGCCAUGCCGCGUGUAUGAAGAAGGCUUUCGGGUUGUAAAGUACUUUCAGCGAGGAGGCGUUACUCGCAGAAGAAGCACCGGCUAACUCCGUGCCAGCAGCCGCGGUAAUUC
rnacentral:rRNA from 1 species